rnacentral:tRNA from 1 species
AAGGGUAUAGCUUAGUGGUAGAGCACAUGCUUUGCAUGCACGAGGUCCAGUACCUUUA